rnacentral:rRNA from 1 species
UACGUAGGUGACAAGCGUUGUCCGGAUUUACUGGGCGUAAAGAGCGCGCAGGCGGUCGUUCAAGUCGAGUGUGAAAGCCCCCGGCUCAACUGGGGAGGGCCAUUCGAUACUGAUCGACUCGAAGGCAGGAGAGGGUAGUGGAAUUCCCGGUGUAGUGGUGAAAUGCGUAGAUAUCGGGAGGAACACCAGUGGCGAAGGCGACUACCUGGCCUGUUCUUGACGCUGAGGCGCGAAAGCUAGGGGAGCAAACGGGG